GCUUGGGUGGUUCAGUGGUAGAAUUCUCGCCUGCCACGCAGGAGGCCCAGGUUUGAUUCCUGGCCCAUGCA
rnacentral:tRNA from 1 species